GCAAACUCCACUGCUAUUAGAUGCUCUAGAAAAAUUACAACCUUUAGGGUUAAAUUUAAAGGCGUUGACAUUAUCAACAGUGUAUGGUUUUGCUGAUCGACAUGGACAUCUGCAAGUGCCUUGAUGAACUGAUUAUCUAUGUGGGCUUGAGCCACUUAAUGAAAAGGAUUGUGAAACUGAGAGUCCAAACGUCACAGAUGAAUUGCGAGUCAUUGUAGUCGGAGACAAUCCAGUUCGAUUAGCUUAGCG
rnacentral:misc_RNA from 1 species